rnacentral:rRNA from 1 species
GACGAACGCUGGCGGCGUGCCUAAUACAUGCAAGUCGAGCGGACUUUCAUUGGUGCUUGCACCUUUUGAAAGUUAGCGGCGGACGGGUGAGUAACACGUGGGUAACCUACCCUGUAGAUUGGGAUAACUCCGGGAAACCGGGCUAAUACCGAAUAACACUUUUGAACUCAUGUUCGGAAGUUAAAAGAUGGUUUCGGCUAUCACUACAGGAUGGGCCCGCGGCGCAUUAGCUAGUUGGUGAGGUAACGGCUCACCAAGGCAACGAUGCGUAGCCGACCUGAGAGGGUGAUCGGCCACACUGGGACUGAGACACGGCCCAGACUCCUACGGGAGGCUG